CGGAAGCGAGCUUGCUGCGCCAGUUCCCGCUGCUUCUACCCCAGAACCGGGCGAAAACCGUGUAUGAAGGAUUCAUUUCAGAUUGCAGCCUUAUUUUUACCCCAGAGCAUUACAUCUGUUUCCAGGGGACUUCUUGUGCAGCACAGAGGAGAAAGAAAGCAUAAUGUGUCAGGGAAAUGCCAACUAAGAAUUUUAUCCAAAUUGAACAGAACUAUGUCCCUA